rnacentral:lncRNA from 1 species
GCCCACCACGCCCGGGAAGGGGCGGCUGGUCCGGCGGGGUCCCGAGGAGUGCCCCAGCCCCGGGGAAAGCGGUGAGCGCGUCCCUGCCCGGGGAGAUCCCUGCGUGGGGCGGGGGGGGCUGCCCUGGCUGUGCUGACGGGACCCCUCUGCCCCUCAGACCCUGCGAGCCCCCCUCCACCGCCCUGCCCCGAGGGCUCCUAUUUCUCGGCGCUCCCUGAGGUUGAGCAUCAGGACCCUGCUGUCCCCCCAAGCCUGUGAGUGUGAGGGGGGUCCCCAAACCCCCCCAAUAUGUGUUGGGGGGGGUCCAACAGCCCCCCCAGCACCGCUGCCUUCCCCCCAGACCCUCUGCCUUCCCCCUCCAGGCCGAGCUCGGGGGCCCUGACCCCUGGGAUGGACGGUCCCCGGAAGAUCCGGAGCAAGUUGCAGCACACCCUGGUCCUGGAGCUGGUGAGCUGGGGGGGCUGGGGGGGCUCUGCAGCGCCCGGGGCUGGGGGCUCACCCUGUUCCCUGUCCUCAGGAUGGGACCCUGCUCUACUCCUCCCUGCUCGCCCGUGGGCAGCAGGAUGCCACGGCCACCUUCACCAUGAACUUCCAGGCCAGUUCCUACAAGGUUCACGUGAAGCUGCGUCCACACGUGCAGGAGUUCUUGGAGAGCCUUUCCAAGACCUAUGAGGUACCCAGAGCCCCCGGGAUCUGUGGGGUGACCCCGGGGACGUCCCACCCAGGGAACCUUCACCCUCUCUAUGCCAGAUCUUCAUCUACACCACUGCCAAGAAGGACUAUGCCAAGAAGCUGCUGGAGGUGCUGGACCCCAGGAAGAAGCUGAUCAGGUGAUGGUGCUGCCCCGCUGGGGACCUCCUGUGUGACAGGGUGGGGUCCCCACGGCUCUGUCUCCCCGUCAGGCGCUGCCUCUCCCAGUCGGAUUGUGUCUGCUCCCAGGGCUGCUACUGGAAGGACCUGACCCACCUGGGCAGGGACCUGGCUAAGACGGUGGCCCUGGACCACGCCAUGCAGGGCUUCCCUGCCCAGGUAGGGCAGAGCCGCUCCCAGAGGGAAUUUGAGCGUCCCCAUCCCCGGGAGCACUGUGGCUGUGCCGGAUCCAACCUUCUCCCUGUCCCCCCCAGGCUGCCAACUGGAUCCUGGUGCCACCGUGGUCUGGGGACCCUCAGGAUGAGGAGCUGCUGCCCCUCCUGCCAGUGCUGGAGCAGCUGGGCCAGGCGGUAGGAGAUGUGGGGAUGGGGACAGGAAGGGGACGGGGGCUCUGGGCGCUCCCCUACCCCGUCUCUCCCUGCGCAGGAGGACGUGCGCCCCGAGAUCCAGCGGCAAUUCCCGCCCCAACAGCUGCCUGCAUGAGGAUGAGCCUGGAGGAGCUCUGGGAGAGGCCGUGGGGAAGCUGUGGAUGCUCAGGGACAUCCAGCACCUCAUCCCAUGGAGCUGGGCUGGCUGUGCCAGGAGCCUCCCUUGGUGUUUGCAGGGGUCCCAGCUCAUCCCUGGGGGUGUCCCCAAGGAGAGCCCCUGUCUUUGGACACAGAGCUCCGUCCUGGCUCCCUCCUCUCCCUGCUCUGUAAGGUCCAGCCAAGGCUUUCACGGUCAUUAUAAGCUUGGAG